GCGCCUUAUGCAUGCAAGUCGAGCGAAGCUUUUCAGUAGUUUACUACAGAAAAUGACUGAGCGGCGAACGGGUGAGUAACGCGUGAGCAACCUACCUUAGUUACUGGGAUAGCCCGAGGAAACUCGGAUUAAUACCGGAUAUUCUUAUUUAAUCACAUGAUUUUUUAAGGAAAGGUCAGCCGAACUAAGAUGGGCUCGCGUUCUAUCAGCUAGUUGGUAGGGUAAUGGCCUACCAAGGCUACGACGGAUAGCUGGUCUGAGAGGACGAUCAGCCACACUGGGACUGAGACACGGCCCAGACUCCUACGGGAGGCUGCAGCAGGGAAUAUUGCGCAAUGAGCGAAAGCUUGACGCAGCGACACCGCGUGUGGGAUGACGGAUCUAGGUUUGUAAACCACUUUCAGGAGGGAAGAAAAUGACGGUACCUCCACAAGAAGCCCCGGCCAACUACGUGCCAGCAGCCGCGGUAAUACGUAGGGGGCGAGCGUUGUCCGGAUUUAUUGGGCGUAAAGAGCUCGUAGGCGGUUCAACAAGUCGGUCGUGAAAGUUCAGGGCUCAACCCUGAAAUGUCGAUCGAUACUGUUGUGACUAGGAUACGGUAGAGGUGAGUGGAAUUCCGAGUGUAGCGGUGAAAUGCGUAGAUAUUCGGAGGAACACCAAUUGCGAAGGCAGCUCACUGGGCCGCUAUCGACGCUGAGGAGCGAAAGCUAGGGGAGCAAACAGGAUUAGAUACCCUGGUAGUCCUAGCUGUAAACGAUGGAUACUAGACGUAGGAAUUGGAUUAACGAUUUCUGUGUCGUAGCUAACGCGUUAAGUAUCCCGCCUGGGGAGUACGG
rnacentral:rRNA from 1 species